UACGUAGGGCGCAAGGCGUUGUCCGGAAUUAUUGGGCGUAAAGAGCUCGUAGGUGGCUGGUCGCGUCUGCCGUGAAAGCCCGCAGACUUAACGUGCGGGUCUGCGGUGGAUACGGCCGGCUAGAGGUGAGGUAGGGGCAAGUGGAAUUCCUGGUGUAGCGGUGAAAUGCGCAGAUAAUCAGGAGGAACACCGGUGGCGAAGGCGGCUUGCUGGGCCUUACCUGACGCUGAGACGCGAAAGCGUGGGUAGCAAACAGG
rnacentral:rRNA from 1 species